GGAUGUGAGGACGAUCUGACUGUGACAUCUGUCACCCCAUCGAUCGCCAGGGUCGAUCCGGCUGAUCUGGCUGGAUAGGCGGGUGUCCCCUGCCACCCUCACCGCUCCGUGUGUGUCCCUCCUGAAGCUGCGUGCUCAGUCGAAGAGGACGGCCUUCCCCGAAUAGAGAUGGACCGGUCUUCAGUCGAGGUGUACGAGUAGCUGCACUCCCCUACUAGAACCUCCAAACCAGCUCUCAAGACAACAGCUAUAACCAUGCACUGUAAGAAACGGCCAUGACCUCCCUCCCAUCCCAACUAGCCCCUCUG
rnacentral:snRNA from 1 species